rnacentral:lncRNA from 1 species
CAUCUCUUUUUCAGCAUCAAGAUGCAUGACCUGCAGCAAAUCAAUUAGAAGUCAAACUUAGUAAGUAUUUCAAGAAAGCAAGGGACAACUUAGAACAGCAGCCAGGCUUUGAAAAUUCAGAUAAUGCAACAAGUCCAUCUUAUGAACCAAAAAAACCAACAGAGAUCUUGUCACGUAACUCCAAGAAAGCAAGGGACAACUUAAAACAGCAGCCAGGCUUUGAAAAUUCAGAUAAUGCAACAAGUCCAUCUUAUGUACCAAAAAAAGAACAGAGAUCUUGUCACGUAGCUAUAAAUCCUGAAUUUGUCAGGAAACUGGAAGAAAUAGAAGAUGUAUGAGUUUGAAGUUGACAUCAUCACAAAUGUCCAAGAAAAAGAGAACAGAAGCACCACAUAGCAGUUUUGAAUAACUAAUCACCAGGCUUUCCAAUUCAGGAAUAUCAUUAUUCAUAGAGAACUAACUUACUCAAUGUAAGAUGCCAUUGCCAUUAGCAUAUGAACAAGAAAUCCUCAUAUAGAGCACAGAUUUAAAGGGAAAGGAUAAUGGUUGCUACAUUUAGAAACUUACAAGAGCAAGGGCUUCAAAGAGGACAGCAUGUGAUGCAUUGUUCUUGUUCACAUUUUUCACCACAUCGGUUCCCAUCAAUAUCCUUUGCAAAACCUGAUUGAUUAUAAUGAAUCCAGAACAUUUUUUAGAUUUUCUGCAGAUUCUUUUUGGACAAAUAAAGAUCAAAUAGAAAAGGUGAUAUGCUCUCAGUAAAACAUUUAAAAGAUUUUACUGCAGAUUCUUUUUGGACAAAUAAAAAUCAAAUAGAAAAGGUGAUAUGCUCU